rnacentral:SRP_RNA from 1 species
GGGUCCCGUGCAACGUCGCACCGUGAAUCGUGUCAGGUCCGGAAGGAAGCAGCACUAAGCGGAUCGCGGGGUGUGCCGCGGGGAAGCC